rnacentral:rRNA from 1 species
AUGCGAGUCCUUGGACUCGCCGCCAUCGAGAGGGCGCGCAAGAGACAGGCCUCGCGCGUCACCUGGCUGCGCGCGAGCGACGCCAAGAUGGCGUUCUUCCAGAAAAUCAACUCACGACGCCAAAAAAACUUCAUCCAUGCCCUACACACUCGAGACUCCAUUGCCACCUCCCACGGUGACAAGGAGCGGAUCAUUCAUGAGCACUUCCGAUCCUCGUUGGGCACAACAUCGCCUCGUAGCCGAACCAUCAACUGGGAAUCCAUCCACCUGCCGUCUCUGCUGGUAGCCAGCCUUGACAACCCCUUCACCGAGGACGAGGUGUGGGCGGCGAUCUGCAAAUCUCCGCAGGAGAAGUCUCCAGGGCCGGACGGCUUCAAUGGUACUUUCUUCCACUCGUGCUGGUCCAUCAUCAAGACAGAUGUCAUGGCGACCUUCCACCAAUUCUACAAUCUCUCAGGCGGCGACAUGUCGGCGAUCAACAAAGCUACAAUCAUUCUCCUGCCAAAAAAGGAUGGGGCAACGGAGAUCACCCACUUCAGGCCCAUUAUUUUGAUCCAUUCGGUAACCAAGCUCAUCUCCAAGGUUCUCUCGAUUAGAUUGGCGUCAGUCAUCGGCUCCAUCAUCUCACCGGUGCAGACGACAUUCCUGAAAUCGAAGUGCAUCCACGACAACUUUUUUUCGUGCAAAACUCCAUCCGCGCCCUCCAUCGUCGCAAAAUGCCAGGCCUGCUACUAA